GACCACUGCACCCUGUUUGUCAGGAACCGUUUCAGAGUAUCGAACAUUUGGUUUCUCUAGUGCAUAUGAUUCCCAUUGGCCACUGCGUACGAUGUUUGCACACAGAACGAUGGGCCGUGCAUUGGGUUCUGCCACAGCAGACUGCCGCAGAGUGACAUAGAUCGUGACUGAUGUCUCGUAAACAUAGCACCCCUCCCCCGAUCAUGAAACAGCCUAUCCUCAUGAACAAUUCAUCGCCUCACUCGCGUCAUGGAUCUUGUUCCGUCUGUCUGUGCAAAGCUGGCUGUUGCCUUAUGCCUGAGUACGUAGUCGUGGAGAGCCGUGUCGGGCCAAUAGCUGGGAGGUUUGCGCGUUGUCAUUUCCAUACAUAGUGGAAUGCAUGCCCGGAAAACAUCCAUCCCUCUGGCGCUGAUCCUUUUUCAAGAGGAGGUGUCUGGAAAAAAAAAAAGAAGGGACAAUACUGAUCACGACAGGGAAGACUUUGUUCUGUUGCAGCAGAGUAAAUAAAACCUUUGACCUGAAUCGCUUUAAGAUAUCUUUUAAUUGUUGCAUAAUAUAAUGUUCAACUAGGACGAGUAUACAUUGCAAUAUGUUUAACUUUUUUAUUACCAUCGAUUACAUACUCACUCAUAAGACCGUCCAGUACACUCUCUCUCUCUCUCUCUCUCUCUCUCUCUCUCUCUCUCUCUCUCUCUCUCUCUCUCUCUCUCUCUCUCUCUCUCAAAUAUAUUAUAAAAUAAGGUAUUCAUCGUGCCAUGAGUUUCAGAGACCAUAUCUCUGAAAAAAAUAUUUCCUUACUGCGAAGGCUGUUUGAAAUGUAUAUGGAAAAUAAAUAAAUAAACGUACAAUAGCGGCCAUUCUUCAUUUUCCCACAUCGCCAACGACCCGCACCCAUCAGGCACCUAAA